CGAGCGAUGCCGCGUGAGCGAAGAAGGUCUUCGGAUCGUAAAGCUCUGUUAUCAGGGAAGAAGGACGUAGGCAGGCAAUGGCCUACGGGUGACGGUACCUCAUGAGGAAGCCCCGGCUAACUACGUGCCAGCAGCCGCGGUAAUAA
rnacentral:rRNA from 1 species